rnacentral:rRNA from 1 species
AUUGAACGCUGGCGGCAUGCCUUACACAUGCAAGUCGAACGGUAACAGGUUAAGCUGACGAGUGGCGAACGGGUGAGUAAUAUAUCGGAACGUGCCCAGUCGUGGGGGAUAACUGCUCGAAAGAGCAGCUAAUACCGCAUACGACCUGAGGGUGAAAGCGGGGGAUCGCAAGACCUCGCGCGAUUGGAGCGGCCGAUAUCAGAUUAGGUAGUUGGUGGGGUAAAGGCCCACCAAGCCAACGAUCUGUAGCUGGUCUGAGAGGACGACCAGCCACACUGGGACUGAGACACGGCCCAGACUCCUACGGGAGGCAGCAGUGGGGAAUUUUGGACAAUGGGCGCAAGCCUGAUCCAGCCAUGCCGCGUGCGGGAAGAAGGCCUUCGGGUUGUAAACCGCUUUUGUCAGGGAAGAAAAGGUUCUGGUUAAUACCUGGGACUCAUGACGGUACCUGAAGAAUAAGCACCGGCUAACUACGUGCCAGCAGCCGCCGCCG